UACGGGGGGGGCAAGCGUUGUUCGGAAUUACUGGGCGUAAAGCGUGCGUAGACGGUUAUUUAAGUCAGGUGUGAAAGCCCAGGGCUCAACCUUGGAAUUGCAUUUGAGACUGAAUAGCUAGGGUGCGGAAGAGGGAAGCGGAAUUUCCGGUGUAGCGGUGAAAUGCGUAGAUAUCGGAAGGAACACCAGUGGCGAAAGCGGCUUCCUGGUCCAGCACCGACGUCAGGCACGAAAGCGUGGGGAGCAAACAGG
rnacentral:rRNA from 1 species